rnacentral:tRNA from 1 species
ACCGGUUUGGCUCAGUGGAUAGAGCAUCAGCCUGCGGGCUGAAGGGUCCCAGGUUCGAUUCCGGUCAACGGCA